CGUGAGUGAUGAAGGCUCUCGGGUCGUAAAGCUCUGUCAAGCGGGAAGAACCCGCAUGAUGACAAUACCAUCAUGCGCUGACGGUACCGCUGAAGGAAGCACCGGCUAACUCCGUGCCAGCAGCCGCGGUAAUACGGGGGGUGCAAGCGUUAUUCGGAAUUAUUGGGCGUAAAGGGCGCGUAGGCGGCCUGGUUAGUCAGAUGUGAAAUCCCGGGGCUCAACCCCGGAAGUGCAUUUGAUACUGCCAGGCUUGAGUAUGGGAGAGGGAAGUGGAAUUCCUGGUGUAGCGGUGAAAUGCGUAGAUAUCAGGAGGAACACCGGUGGCGAAGGCGACUUCCUGGACCAAUACUGACGCUAAGGCGCGAAGGCGUGGGGAGCAAACAGGAUUAGAUACCCUGGUAGUCCACGCAGUAAACGGUGAACACUAGGUGUAGCGGGUAUUGACCCCUGCUGUGCCGCAGCUAACGCAUUAA
rnacentral:rRNA from 1 species